rnacentral:lncRNA from 1 species
AGUUUUCAAAAUGGCUAUUUUCAUAAGCCUGAACCUUCUGGUGUAUAUGCAGAGGAGCGAGUUUCUUUGACUGGACAAAGAAGAUGGAGGGCAGCAGCCUGGUAAGGAGGUGCUUCAGGCAUCUGGCCAGCCAAAUGGAGGGUUGAAUAAAUAUCAGGAAAUAUCAGGCAUUCUCAGGGAUGAAAAAAACACCUACAUCUUCCAAGGAGGCAAGGAACAUAGGAAUUUGCCAGAUUCUGCAACUGAGCUCAGCAUAAG